rnacentral:tRNA from 1 species
GCUUCUGAAGGAUAACAGUCAUCCGCUGGUCUUAGGAACCAAAAACUCUUGGUGCAAGGUCUUAGGAGAAGCU